AAAGAGAAGCAAUACCGUGAGGUGGAGCAAAACUCAAAAAAUGAUCUCAGUUCGGACUGUAGGCUGCAACUCGCCUACACGAAGUUGUAAUUGCUAGUAAUCGUGGAUCAGCAUGCCACGGUGAAUACGUUCCCGGGUCUUGUACACACCGCCCGUCACACCAUGGGAGCUGGUAACACCCGAAGUCAGUAGUCUAACCAUUAAGGAGGACGCGGCCGAAGGUGGGUUUGGUAAUUGGGGUGAAGUCGUAACAAGGUAGC
rnacentral:rRNA from 1 species